rnacentral:rRNA from 1 species
ACUGAACGCUGGCGGCAUGCUUUACACAUGCAAGUCGAACGGUAGACCCUUUCGGGGGUUGAGAGUGGCGAACGGGUGAGUAAUGCAUCGGAACGUGCCUAGUCGUGGGGGAUAACGUAGCGAAAGUUACGCUAAUACCGCAUACGCACUGAGGUGGAAAGCGGGGGACCGUAAGGCCUCGCGCGAUUGGAGCGGCCGAUGUCGGAUUAGCUAGUUGGUGAGGUAAAGGCUCACCAAGGCGACGAUCCGUAGCGGGUCUGAGAGGAUGAUCCGCCACACUGGGACUGAGACACGGCCCAGACUCCUACGGGAGGCAGCAGUGGGGAAUUUUGGACAAUGGGCGCAAGCCUGAUCCAGCCAUGCCGCGUGCGGGAAGAAGGCCUCGG